rnacentral:tRNA from 1 species
GGGCCGGUAGCUCAAUGGCAGAGCAACUGACUCUUAAUCAGUUGGUUGGGAGUUCGAGUCUCCCCCGGCUCACCA